ensembl:lncRNA
GCGAAGCCUCAUCGCCCGUAUUAGUGCGCCGACCUGGAAAGCCGCCAGGAGCCCUGCUCGCGGGUCCGCCCCCGCCCGCCGCCGCCGCGCGCCCAGAGCCGCUUGGGGAGCCCGCGAGGAGGGGGAGCGCGGCCCGCCCCGCGGCCACGUGCGCGGAAGCCCGCGGCGGGGGCGCCUCGGGGACGUCCCGGCGCGGGGUCUCCCGGGCCCCCGGGCGGCGUCCUCGUCCUCCCGUGGGACCCGACUCCCCUUGUCCGCGGCUCGGCCCCCUCGGCUGGGCGGCGGGGGCACCUCGCGUCUCUCUCCCCGAGACGUCCUGCCUCCCCACCUGGAGCCCGAGGCCGGAGUACCGUUUCCAGAACUCGAGGUGUGGGACCGACAAAUCGGUUUGGAAACCGCCACCCCCAACAAGUGGCUCUUCCCGAAGUGUUUCUGGGCCCCGAGGGUGGCUGUUCCUUGCUGUUUGUCUCUUACUUGCUUUGCAAGAGUAAAGGGGGUCAUUACCCCCAACCGACAGCGCCAGAGUAACUGGUUUGCCCCUGCAUAAGCGGAUGAAAAUCGACUCACUCAGAGUGGUGAGUGGUGGUUAAAACUAGGUAUGUAAUUUUGUGGGUUGUCGUUUCCUUACCCGUAUUUAUUUGCUUAACAGCCUAGCCUAUAAUAUAUACUGUUAUCUAAUCUAAUAAAGGUACAACCUUAUGGGCACUGAGCAACGUUAAUGGGUUAAUGGACAACCUUCCUUGCUCACGGCCUGGCUAUCUCCCUGGAUAGCCUGCCUUUGGAGGUCGCUGUGGGCCCCUCAGAGAAGGCAAUGGCACCCCACUCCAGCACUCUUGCCUGGAAAAUCCCAUGGACGGAGGAGCCUGGUGGGCCGCAGUCCAUGGGGUCGCACAGAGUCGGACACGACUGAAGCGACUUAGCAGUAGCAGCAGCAGUGGGCCCCUCGAACCCGCUCAGAAUAUGUGUAAGAAAUGCCACUAGCUUACUGAUGGCCUUUGACCCCCAUCAGCCAGCGGUUCUUCAUAGAGAAGGCAUUUACUACAGGGAUGAAAAAAUACUAGAAAGGAGAAUAAAGCCACAAGGGACAGUAUUCAGUUUGCUCCUGUAUGUAGGAAAAUCGGUCCUCCACAAGGUCCUGAUACCCCUGAAACACAAGGCCGUGAAUUGAACUGCCUUUUCUUGUCCUCAAAGCACUGCACUUUCUUCCUGUGGCAGAUGCCAUGUUUGCAUUAUCACACUGUUGUCCGCUGAGCAACGACCCUGUGUAAAACAGCAUUUGUGUUAGCACUUGAAUCAUCUUUAUACAUCUGUGCUCCAGGCUAGGUGUUAAGUUUGAGAUCGCUCUGGGUGUGAAAGUCCAGGGAACCUUUGGACUGCUACCAAUGGCACCUCCUGGGCAUUUUAUUGCAGGUGCAUUAGACAAGGCAGAGGACUCAACGCAGAGCAAGAAGCCAUAACCUCUGCAGUGCUGGCUUGGGCUUCCAGCACAGUCUUUAUAGGUUCUCCGAGUUCUCUGGGCUCUUGGCAGGACUUGCUUCUGCAGAUUCUUUGAAGCAGGUGACACAGGAGACACGGAUUCGAUCCCUGGUUUGGGAAGAUCCCCUGGAGGAGAGCAUGGCAGCCCACUUCAGUGUUCUUGCCUGGAAAAUUCCACAGACAGAGGAGCUUGACGGGCUACAGUCCAUGGGAUCACAAGGAGUCGGACAGGACUGGCAGUUCUAGAAGUCCAAGAUCAGGGUGUUGGCAGAUUCGGUGUGUGGACAGGCUGAGCCCACUAGACCAGCAAGUUGCCUGGCUGGAAGAUGCAAGUUUCUCCCUGGUGUUUAUCAACAGAUGACUUCUGAUGGAAUGAAUCCUAGGAGAAAUAGAAGAGAUAUUCAAAACUCUUUAAAUGAGACUAAAAGAACAUCUCUGAAAGCAUUUUCUGUACAAAUAUAAUGUUUCAUGUUCAUACAGAAUUUAAGAUUAAUAAAGGAUCUUAAUCGUUGUCUGUGCUUCUAUCAUACUGCAUAUUGUUUGGUAAGCCUUAGUCUACUUUUAAGACCUCUAUUGAAAAUAGUUAAGCAUAGAAGAAAACAGAUUCAUUACUUUUGGCUUUCCUCUUUAAGAGAGAAGUUUGGGUGGAGGGAAAAAAAAAUCAUAUUACCUUAGAAUAAAGGUCAUAAACAAACAAUAAAAUAUGAGAUAUUAUUCUGCAUCUAUUAUUGUUUAGUCACUAAGUCGUGUCUGGAUCUUUGCGACCCCAUGGACUGUAGCGCACCAGGCUCCUCUGUCCAUAGGUUUUCCCAGGCAAGAAUACUGGAGUGGGUUGCCAUUUCCUUUUUGAGGGGAUCUUCUCCACCCAGGGAUAGAAUCUGCAUCUCCUGCAUUGAUAAGAAAACUGUGAUGCACACAGCUUUCAUCACUGGAAAAAUGUCUCAUGAUUCACCUGAACAGUAUCCAUCCACAUCUGUUGUCUAUCCAGAGGGAAGAAUGAUGUGCAAGAAACCAUAUUUUUAAUGAAAUUUCAAUUUCUGACAUAUAUUUCCUAUAAGAAAU